rnacentral:rRNA from 1 species
GACAAUAAAUCACAAUGCGGAACAAUGUUUUGCAAUUGGAUUGAGAACAACGUACAAACCUUAUCGAUAAACAAUUGGAGGGCAAGUCUGGUGCCAGCAGCCGCGGUAAUUCCAGCUCCAAUAGCGUAUAUUAACGUUGUUGCAGUUAAAAAGCUCGUAGUUGAAAUGAAGGGUAGUUGUGUAAUGAAUACAUUCGUGUAUUUUGUUAUUCAACUACCCUCCUUCUAAAUUCGAUAUAUGAGUAUUAAUUUACUUGUAUAUGGUUUUAGACGUUUACUGUGAGAAAAUUAGAGUGUUCAAAGCAGGCAUUUGCUUGAAUAUAUUAGCAUGGAAUAAUCAUGUAUGAUUUUCAUGAUGUAUUUGAUUGGUUUGGUUCAUGAGAAUAAGAUUAAAAGGGACAGUUGGGGGUAUUCAUAUUCAAUAGUCAGAGGUGAAAUUCUCGGAUUUAUGGAAGAUGAACAAGUGCGAAAGCAUUUACCAAGGAUGUUUUC